UACGUAGGGUCCGAGCGUUGUCCGGAAUUAUUGGGCGUAAAGGGCUCGUAGGCGGUUUGUCGCGUCGGGAGUGAAAACUCAGGGCUCAACCCUGAGCGUGCUUCCGAUACGGGCAGACUAGAGGUAUGCAGGGGAGAACGGAAUUCCUGGUGUAGCGGUGGAAUGCGCAGAUAUCAGGAGGAACACCGGUGGCGAAGGCGGUUCUCUGGGCAUGACCUGACGCUGAGGAGCGAAAGCAUGGGGAGCGAACAGG
rnacentral:rRNA from 1 species